AGCGCGGCCGGGGAAGGAGGAGGCGGAGGAGGGCGCCAGGCCCGCAGCAGAGACUGCCCGGCAGCCUGUGGAGAGAGCAUGGGGAAGCAGAUAUUUCCCUGUAGACCACGGGAUCUGUUUUGCCUGUGAUGGAUUUGACUCAUGAUUGUUUGGCCUCAGCAUUUAGUGAAUAUUUUUGCAGCUGUAUUAUAAUUAACUGGUGAAUGAGUAGAAAUUUGUUGCAAACACUCAAGAUCUGAUAACUGAUUCCCAUUUAGAUGUCAUUGAGACCCACCAUUCAACGCAUCAAGUAACUGUAGUCCAUCAUCAUAAUCACUAUUAUGAUUCCAUCACCAGUACCUCUUUUGCAAGAAGCUUCCCUUUCAUUUUAUAAGACGCCAUUCUAAAAUAGGAGCAGAACUCAGAAAACUGACUGCUGCUCUCCUGCUCUUACACACGAGCAAAUUGCUGUCUUUUACAUCUGGUACAUUGUACUACAUCUUCAAGUGAUGUGAUUCAUGUCACUUUCCAAAGGACGGUAAGAUGAUCUUUGUUUCUAGUGGCACCAUCAAAGCAAGAACAGGCUUUUAUUAAUUUAAUAAAGGCUGAGCAGAUGCUACAAUCUUAUCAUAAGUGGAAUUAUCAGAAACUGGAACAUAGGCAACAAGUACAAUAACAGUCCUAGUGAGCACUUUGUCCUCUCUACCAGCCAUCCAGAACCAGAGCUGGGAUUGCCAGCUGAGCCUCCAGCCUUCUCCAUGAUUGUGCUAAUGCAAAACCAUCAGUAAACAUGUUGCCACACUUUCCUUUUAAGCUGCAUCUGCUGCGCUUAUAUAUUUAAGAGGAGGCAUCAAUGAUCAGCAUCACUGACUUUUAAUCUUUAGGAUAACUCAUCUCUAAUCUCAUACCACUACAGACAUUUUUAUUCUCACAGACAAGAAGACUUAAUGAGUCCUCUGAUGGAUGAAAUGCAGGAAACUACUGCAGAGAGAAACCCUUCUUCUCAGACUUUCUGAGUGAACAACCAGCGCUGUUCUUCUGAACGGGACAUGUAACUUUGCUUUGCAGGUACCUACUGACACUUUGAAGGACAGCUUUUCCAAGAUUUGCAUGAAGGCUGCGGAGCUGAAUUGUGAACUAGUAGUAGUGGUUUGCCUAUAGGCAGCAAGCUGGAAUAUAGCCUUUCGUUUCGCAUUUGCUGAAAUAUUUGAAAUACCAAAAAUACCAAAGUUCAGAGAAACCCACUUCAGCCAGAUAAAAUCUUAGAAAAAUGAAUUCUACUACUUCCUAGGCAUUCCUCUCCUAACAAGAAGUUAGGAGAAUGUCAGGAGCAAAGGAAAUGUGGACAGAAUGCGCAGCAGGCAGUAUAAACAGCUUUGCACCAUCUCAAAUUCUAGCAGUUUUUUUCCCACCCUGGCACUAUGGCAAUCCUCCUGCACUAUCGGAGUCGAGCGUGCAGUCAGGGGCGUUAUCACCAUCCCGUCAUCAGGAGUGAAUAGUGCCGUAGGAAUAGAAUUCGUUACUUUCAGCAUCAAAACAGCACUGAAAUAAGGGUUUUCUCUGCUUAGGUAUUUCUGAAGGACUCGAUGCACACUUUGACAUAACGCUUUUGAAGUCAGUGAAACUAACUCAGUGAAAAAUCCCUUUGUUGAGUUCAGCUGUGCAAUGCUGGAAAGUUCAGAAGAAAAUUGAAUAUGCAGAUAUUUUUACUAGCAAAAGAAGAGAAUGUUCGCAUAAAAUGGAGAAAAACUAUUUUCUAAUUUAUGUAUGGGGGCUUCAAUAUUUUUACAACUAAUAGAAGUUUUGUGGAUCGAGGGGGAACCAGAGAAAUUUUUAAAAACAUGUGCAGUAAUGAUAAGUUAAAUUCAGCUGUAGAAAACAGAUGUCUCCUUUUCCUGUAAUCCAUAAGAUUAAAGAACUGUAAUCGUAGGAGCCUUUAGUAUUGAUUCAUUAAAAUAAAAUAGAAUUUUAAUUAAAAAACCCUCUCUUGAG